ACACUUCUCAAUGUAAAGCAGGCUGCGAAUAUAUUGUGAAACAAACAAAUUCUAUAUGCAUUAACUUCAAUUUCAAUCAAAUUUGAAUAUUGAAUACACAGUUGCAGUUGCAGAUGCAGUUGCAGUUGCCGUUGCAGUUGCAGUUGCAGUUGCAGUUGUUGCUUCCGUUGUUGCGUCAGUUUCUGAAAACUAGUUAAAGUCGUAGCCAAAAUCUGAAUACUCAACGAUGAAGCCAGUUUGGCUAGAAGCCUUCAUAAAUAUAUGUAUGUAUGUAUAUACCGAGUGAAUUAUGAAGUCUAUGCUGCAAUGCGAAGGCCACCGUUUGCAUAGGCAGUGGACAGGCUGGAAUGCCCUCUGGUAGAGUAUAAGCAGGCAAGAAAUGAAACAGGAAAGAAGAAAAACCAAUUGAGAGCUCUGUGAAACCCGCAUAUGUUUGAGUAGCAGCGCACUUUUGUAUAAGUGUGCGUGGACGUGUGUGUGUGUGUGUGUGUGCAGAUGGGAAAAUUGCCCAGUCGGGGCAGGGCAGCGCCAACAGCUUGCAUAAAUUUGUGUAUUGAGAGACUACGAAUCGCAUUCGUCAUUCCGCUUGCCUGACGUCUUUGUCAAAUAUGCGACUAACUGUAGCUGUCGGAAGUGACUUCAAUCUCAAUGGGCCUAUGCGGCCAAAGUGCGCCUGCGGCUGUCGCUAGCGCAGCCCAAAACCCAAACUUGAGCUCGAACCCAAAACGAAAUCCAAACUCAAACUCUAACUCAGACCACAAAUCAGAUUCCCAGAUUGAAACCGGCUUUGGCAGUGCUUUUUUUUUCUCGAUUUCCAGCUAUGAUUUGUCGUCGUGUGCCAUCUGAGCUGGGCGUUGAAAUUGGGCGUGGCAGGCCAAGAUUUAAAUAUGCGUAUCUUUGCCGUACACGCCCAUACACACACACACACGCGUUCACACACAGGUGCCGCAGCAUCUACUUAAACAAUUUCCCUUCCUCCCCACGUGAGCUGCCAAAUUUGGCUGCCUGAAUGGAUUUUAGCUUGAUAGGGGAUAGAUGAUGAGACGACGGUGUAUCGAUCGUACACGUCAAGACAAAGGAUAUCAUCAUAUAUUGAAAACGGUUCAAGAAUAACUAAACAGUGCCACAACGUAAGAGUGAAAGAGGAGUUGAAGCUGCAAGACCAGGAGAUACCCUGUAGGCAAUG